AUGUGGUUUGGCGAGAGCGAGGCCAAUGUGCGUGAGAUUUUCGAUAAGGCAAGGCAGUCGGCACCAUGUGUCCUCUUUUUCGAUGAGCUCGACUCGAUUGCCACCCAGAGAGGAAACAGUGUCGGCGAUGCCGGAAGCGCUGCUGAUAGAGUGUUGAAUCAGCUUCUUACCGAAAUGGACGGAAUGAAUGCCAAGAAAACCGUGUUCAUUAUCGGUGCCACCAACAGGCCAGACAUCAUAGACCCAGCCUUGCUUAGGCCUGGGCGCCUUGAUCAGCUCAUUUACAUUCCUCUGCCUGAUGUCGAAUCAAGGCUCCAGAUCUUCAGGGCCUGCCUUAGGAAGUCUCCUGUGGCCAAGGACGUUGACCUGAAUGCACUCGCCAAAUACACGCGAGGGUUCAGCGGCGCAGACAUCACGGAAAUCUGCCAGCGUGCGUGCAAAUACGCCAUCAGAGAGAACAUUGAGAAGGACAUGGAAAAGGAGAGGCGGCUGAAGGAAAACCCUGAAGCCAUGGAGGAAGACGAGGUGGACGAGAUCAAGGCUGCUCACUUCGAGGAGAGCAUGAGGUAUGCACGCCGGAGUGUGAGCGAUGCUGAUAUUCGCAAAUACCAGGCCUUUGCUCAGACGCUGCAGCAGUCCCGUGGUUUCGGUACCGAGUUCCGGUUCGUUGAUCAGCCGGCGGCAGGCACUACCGCUGCGACAGAUCCUUUCGCAUCCUCUACCACGGCAGCUGAAGAAGAUGAUUUGUACAGUUAA
rnacentral:rRNA from 1 species